GGGGGUGUUUUGGUUUUGACAGCACCGAUGCCGGAAGGUAAGCACGCCGGGCGCUCCGCAGGCCUGCCCGUCAACACGACUUGCGAACAAUUAGCUGGCAACAGCAACUAUGCACUCGCAGCCUAAUCUGCCAUAGGCGAUUGGCUUAAUCGGGGCGCCAAGGCUGCGUUCCCGACGAGUAUCCCUCCGGCUUUAGGCCGUCUCUGUCCGGACCCAGGGGUAUCAUUCAAGACGGAUGCACGCGCGGACUCCUUUAAAGCGCGCCAAGACUCUAAGGAUAAGGGUCUGUUCGCCCGCCCUCCGGCAGGCAGCCCCCGACAAUCAAAGGAAGGAUAAGCGUGUAGAAAGCCCUCGGGUGCGUUGUUUGGACGGCGGUUCGAGUCCGCCCACCUCCACAA
rnacentral:tmRNA from 1 species